GACGAACGCUGGCGGCGUGCCUAAUACAUGCAAGUCGACCUUAGUGGCGAACGGGUGAGUAACACGUGGGUAACCUGCCCAUCAGCAGGGGCUAACACUUUGUAACAGGUGCUAAUACCGUAUACUGAUGGAUGGACCCGCGGUGCCUUGGCUAGUUGGUGAUGUAACGGCUCACCAAGGCCACGAUGCAUAGCCGUCCUGAGAUGUGGACCGGCGACAUUGGUCCUGAGACGCGGCCCAAACGCCGACGGGAGGCAGCAGGAGGGAAUCUUCGGCAAUGGACGAAAGUCUGACCGAGCAACGCCGCGUGAGUGAAGAAGGUUUUCGGAUCGUAAAACUCUGUUGUUAGAGAAGCGGUAUCUAACCAGAAAGCCACGGCUAACUACGUGCCAGCAGCCGCGGUAAUAC
rnacentral:rRNA from 1 species